GUGCAGUUUGUCAUCCGCUCCUCUAGGGGCGCGAGCGGCUUCACGUUCAUGACAUUUCGGACCCUUGACAACAACACCUGAUGUCAACUUGACAGUCAUCGCACCGCGUUCUGAUCGUUUUACAGUCAUAAAAGUACAGAUCCUGCAGAUGACAGCUUAGUAACAGACUCAUAAAGUCACUCAACAGCAGAAUCAACUGACACACAUUGAGAUAAUGAUCGACAGUGUCACGAGACUCACCUCAGUGGGCGGGACUUACAAGCAGUGAUCUAAUUGGCUGAAAAUGUGACUAAUAUCCGACAGCCUGUUGCCAAUUUGCAAUCCACCUGAGGACCAGCGUGAGCACAAGGAGAAGUCUUCUUUGAAUAUUAGGAUCUCUGGGUCAGAACUGCUGGAGGUCAUGAGGAGGUGACAGGAGAAGCAGCUACAGUAGUCUCUUGAACUGCUGAACCCUUAUUCCUCUGACCUUUUUUCUGGAGUCAUUGGAGUGCACUCCGUUUGCUGCCAUAAUGUGCCUUUGACAAGAACUCUGGGACGUGUCUGAUAACGGUACCAGCUCAUAUCCUUUCUCUGGGAUAAAGGUUAUGACUGGCCAUUUCUGUUUGAAUGCAUGUUAUUUACAAACUGCAGUGAGUUUGUGCACAAUAAAAGGCUAAAUGUGA